rnacentral:lncRNA from 1 species
GGUGAGGUAUUGGCAUUGUGAGUAGGAGACAUUGAAUUGUCUUUUGAACUGCUAGAAUUUUUUCUGUUUUUUCUGCCUGAAAAUAUGUUUUUGGGCAGAGAAGAGCUCAAGAAACCCCCUUUUUCAUUGUUUGGCUUUUCCUUUGAAGGACUGGAUUGCAAGGACUUAGGUCCCUUACUGCUCUUUCUCUUAAACAUUUUGAGGUUGUUAUCUGACUAACUAAUUUACUUCCAUAGGUGUGUUUCAUCUGACGUAAACAUUUUGUAAAAUGAGUUCAUGAUUACCUCAAUGAUACCAUUGAUGGACCACAGCACAGACCAAAAUUGGCAAAGAGCAUCACUUAUCUUUCAUCUAUCUCGUGUAUUGCAACAUCUUCGUUAUCAUAGCGGUUACAGGAGAUACAAAUCUGUUAUACCUUCAUCUUAGGGUAAUUUAGAUACUCGAAAAAUAACUAAAAUAUAUCGAAAUCAACUAAACUUUUUAAGUUUCAGCUGCUGAGCCGAAGAUGUCUCGCUGUUAGUAAUUUAU